UUUGUCUCACACUGGGGAAAUUUACAGCCUCCAGCAGCAAGAAUGUGGCUAGAAAGAAGAAAAAAAACAAACACCGUUCAAUUAAGUGCAAUAUAAAUACGAUAUUGAUAAAUCGCAGUGCUAUUAACAAUUGUUUUUCACAUCAUUUAACUAUUAUUAUUAUUAUUAUUAUUAUUAUUAUUAUUAUUAUUAUUAUUAUUAUUCAGCAGCCUGACAUCAGUCAGUAGGAACGAGCGUCGGUAUUUCUCCUUCUUGCAACGCGGGUGUAACAGUCUCUGGCUGAAGGAGCUACCAAGUGCUGUCAGGGUGGGCUGGAGGGUGUGGGAGGGACUGGCCAUCAUAGCUUUUAGCUUAGUUAGCAUCCUUCUGUUGCCCACCUCCUCCAGAGUAAGGGUGGAGCAGCCCAGGACAGAACUGGCCUUCCUGACCAGUCGCUCCAGCCUCUUUCUGUCCCGGGCCGAGAUGCUGCCUGACAAGCAGACAAUGCCAUAAUGAAUGGCCGAGGCCACCACAGAGUCAUAGAAAGUCUUAAGGAGCGACCCCCGAACCCCAAAAGACCUCAGUUUCCUCAGUAGGAAGCGUCGGCUCUGUCCUUUCCUAAUCAGGUUGUCCGUGGUUGUAGACCAGUCCAGUUUGUUGUUCGGAAGAACACCUAGGUACUUGUAGAAGGUCACCCGCUCUAUGUCCAUACCCUGGAUGUUCAUCGGUGCUGGCGAGGACUGUUUCCUGCAGAAAUCCACAACCAACUCCUUAGUUUUCCUAGGGUUGAUCUGGAGGAGAUUCUGCUGGCACCAGUCCACAAAGUCCUUAGUCAGUCCAAUGUACUCCCAAUCGCCCCCCUCUGUAAUGAGGCCAACAAUCGCAAAGUCAUUGGAGAACUUCUGACGGUGGCAGUUUGGAGUGGCGUGUCUGAAGUCCGAGGUGUAGAGAAUGAACAGGAAUGGAGCCAGAACAGUCCCCUGCGGCACUCCAGUGCUGCAAAGAAGCCUGUUCGACUCACAGCUCUGCUCAUGUACUGCGGCCGGUUUGUGAGGUAGUCUAUGAUCCAUUUUGUGAGAUGGUGGUCCACUCCGGCGUUCUGCAGUUUGCCUCCCAGUAAGUUGGGCUGGAUGGUGUUGAAGGCACUAGAGAAAUCAAAGAACAUGAUUCUCACAGUGCUCCCAGCCUUUUCCAAGUGUGACAGCACUGAGUGGAGGAGGUAGAUAAUGGCGUCUUCCACGCCAAUGCCAGGCUGAUAGGCAAACUGCAGCGGGUCCACUGCCGAACUCACCAG